GCCUAGGUGGCUCAGUCGGUUGAGCAUCUGACUUCAGCUCAGGUCAUGAUCUCACGGUCUGUGAGUUCGAGCCCCGCGUCGGGCU
rnacentral:tRNA from 1 species